CAGACUCAUAAUAUGAAGAAGCAAUGUGCAUUCCAGCACAUGAGCUACGCUUAGGGUCGCAAAAUGCAUUGAAUCGUGUGCUUUUCCUCCAUUUCAUUCUGAGUGUACUGGAUAUUUCACUUGCAUAUUACUUGUGAACUGUGUGGAAAUCAAAUUAUAUCCGACUUCGCCAUCUCUCGCUAACAAUCCUGCGUUCACCUCACAGCCACUGAACAUGUGGAGGACGAGGAGGAGUGUGUGUGGCAUUGGGGGUUGGAGUUGUAGAAAGACUCUGGUAAUUGGUCAGAUCGUCUUGAUCAGCAGUCCUUGUGUCUGCCAGAGUUCAAAUCUUAUUGAUACAGAUGUAACCGGGGACGCACAGAAGAGGCGAAAAUGCCAGCUAAUUAGCAGACGAAAAGAGAGGGAAUGAGCACGGAGGGAGGGAACGUCGGAUUCGGGGGACAGAGAGGUGCUUCUACUGAACUCUUAAUGAGACAUCUUUGGGGGUGAGGGGGUGACGUGCUCAUCAAACCGCACACACGGCAAUCUCGAAAAAUGUGUGCUUCCUCUGAGCCGCACAAUGCUAACUAAUGAUCUGCAACUAGAGCGGGAGCGAGAGGGGUAAAAUGUCAGCUGAUGCACAGUUUUAAUGAGCUUGUUGUGAAAGGCGAGCAUGGGCGAGGGAAAGAAAAUGACAGCGACAAACAUCGACAGGACUGACCCAUCACGCUUCCCUUGAAGUCUCGAAAUUGCCACGGGCUUUGCUUGAUUUGCCCAUUUAAUAGAGGCAACCUGUAUCUCUCGAGAGGGCUUUGUUGAAGAUUGCUUCGUGCCAUUUUCUCUGGAAGGACAAGGUCAGGGAGAUCUCUUUCCCUCCGUGGUAAAGUCAGAGGACAGCGGAUGACAACAGAUAGGUCUUGUAGCCCUCUGAUUCGCACGGUAGUAUCAGACGUGUCCUUCAUCCUCUGCCUCCCCAUCUUUUGUGUGCGCGUCCAGAGCUCUUGUUUUGAGUGACAGGCAUUUUCCAGGCGCGUCACGUUGACUGACGGGGCACGGCAACCCGGACCUGUCGAUCACGAGGAUUCGGUGGUCGAUCACACCACCAGACGUACAGGUGCCAGGGUUCACUUGUCAGAACUCGCUGCUUGCUUGACACGGGCUUCCUUAGUGCUUUAAGCCAUUUCAAAUUCAGUGGUAAAAACACUGCCAAAGAUGAAAUUAUAAAUUUGUUAAUUGUAUUAAUGAAAUCAUAUUAAUUAUAAUACAAACACAGUAUGUUGUGUAUAAUAUGAAUGUGCACCACUUAAUAAACAUGAAGUAUAGUUUAUGUCAUUUUACAUCA